CGAUAUGUGUGUGAGAGGGACAACUGAGUGUAACAACAUCCCCGGAGGAUCCUACUGUAGCAACGAGACGAACACAUGCCAGUGUUACCCUACCCACAUGCCAUCAGCAACUGGAUGUGAUCCUAAAUAUUGCAAUUAUGAAUGGGAUUGCUUGCAAGGGACAAUCUGUCUAAAUGGCCAAUGCGUUUGCAACGUGACGGCAAUGCUGACGCCUAGAGGAUGCGUUAGCAAAGGACUUGGAAGCCCCUGCAAUUCCACAGCAGAGUGUGAGUCGGUUCAUGGAGCAGUGUGUGGGGAUAUUUUACCUCGGACAUGCGUGUGUGGUCAAGAAUUUAACACCAUAUCAGGGAAAUGCUAUC